rnacentral:rRNA from 1 species
GACGAACGCUGGCGGCGUGCUUAACACAUGCAAGUCGAACGGAAGGGCCCUGCUUUUGUGGGGUGCUCGAGUGGCGAACGGGUGAGUAACACGUGAGUAACCUGCCCUUGACUUUGGGGUAACUUCAGGAAACUGGGGCUAAUACCGGAUAGGAGCUCCUGCUGCAUGGUGGGGGUUGGAAAGUUUCGGCGGUUGGGGAUGGACUCGCGGCUUAUCAGCUUGUUGGUGGGGUAGUGGCUUACCAAGGCUUUGACGGGUAGCCGGCCUGAGAGGGUGACCGGCCACAUUGGGACUGAGAUACGGCCCAGACUCCUACGGGAGGCAGCAGUGGGGAAUAUUGCACAAUGGGCGGAAGCCUGAUGCAGCAACGCCGCGUGCGGGAUGACGGCCUUCGGGUUGUAAACCGCUUUCGCCUGUGACGAAGCGUGAGUGACGGUAAUGGGUAAAGAAGCACCGGCUAACUACGUG